rnacentral:rRNA from 1 species
UACGUAGGGUGCGAGCGUUGUCCGGAAUUAUUGGGCGUAAAGGAUGCGUAGAUGGUCUAGUAAGUUAUCGGUGGUAAAUCGGGGCCUAACCCCGUGGAAGUUGGUAAUACUGUUAGACUUGAGUAUCGGAGAGGUUAACGGAACUCCCUGUGGAGCGGUGAAAUGCGUAGAUAUAGGGAAGAACAUCAAACGGCGAAGGCAGUUAACUAUUCGGCUACUGACAUUGAGGCAUGAAAGCGUGGGGAGCAAAACGG